AACGAACGCUGGCGGCAAGCUUAACACAUGCAAGUCGAACGGCACCUAGUUUAUAGCUUGCUAUAAACUAGGUUAGUGGCAGACGGGUGAGUAAUGCAUAGGAAUCUACCCAGUAGUACGGGAUAGCCACUAGAAAUGGUGGGUAAUACUGUAUAAUCCCCGCGGGGGAAAGAUUUAUCGCUAUUGGAUGAGCCUAUGUUAGAUUAGCUAGUUGGUGGGGUAAUGGCCUACCAAGGCUGUGAUCUAUAGCUGGUCUGAGAGGAUGAUCAGCCACACUGGAACUGAGAUACGGUCCAGACUCCUAUGGGAGGCAGCAGUGGGGAAUAUUGGACAAUGGGCGCAAGCCUGAUCCAGCUAUGCCGCGUGAGUGAGGAAGGCCUUAGGGUUGUAAAACUCUUUCAGUAGGGAAGAUAAUGACGGUACCUACAGAAGAAGUCC
rnacentral:rRNA from 1 species